UAUUAACGCUGGCGGCGUGCCUAAUACAUGCAAGUCGAGCGAACAGAUAAGGAGCUUGCUCCUUUGACGUUAGCGGCGGACGGGUGAGUAACACGUGGAUAACCUACCUAUAAGACUGGGAUAACUUCGGGAAACCGGAGCUAAUACCGGAUAACAUAUUGAACCGCAUGGUUCAAUAGUGAAAGGCGGCUUUGCUGUCACUUAUAGAUGGAUCCGCGCCGUAUUAGCUAGUUGGUAAGGUAACGGCUUACCAAGGCAACGAUACGUAGCCGACCUGAGAGGGUGAUCGGCCACACUGGAACUGAGACACGGUCCAGACUCCUACGGGAGGCAGCAGUAGGGAAUCGUCCGCAAUGGGCGAAAGCCUGACGGAGCAACGCCGCGUGAGUGAUGAAGGUCUUCGGAUCGUAAAACUCUGUUAUCAGGGAAGAACAAAUGUGUAAGUAACUGUGCACAUCUUGACGGUACCUGAUCAGAAAGCCACGGCUAACUACGUG
rnacentral:rRNA from 1 species